rnacentral:rRNA from 1 species
RGGGCAGCAUGUUCCCGUAGCAAUACGGGAUGAUGGCGACCGGCAAACGGGUGCGGAACACGUACACAACCUUCCUUUAAGCGGGGAAUAGCCCGGGGAAACCCGGAUUAAUACCCCAUAGUAUAUUGAAGAGGCAUCUCUUUAUUAUUAAAGAUUUAUCACUUGAAGAUGGGUGUGCGGCUGAUUAGCUAGUUGGCGGGGUAACGGCCCACCAAGGCAACGAUCAGUAACUGGUGUGAGAGCACGACCAGUCACACGGGCACUGAGACACGGGCCCGACUCCUACGGGAGGCAGCAGUAAGGAAUAUUGGUCAAUGGACGCAAGUCUGAACCAGCCAUGCCGCGUGGAGGAUGAAGGUCCUCUGGAUUGUAAACUUCUUUUCUCUGGGACGAAAAAAGGUCUUUCUAGAUCAACUGACGGUACCAGAUGAAUAAGCACCGGCUAACUCCGUGCCAGCAGCCGCGGUAAUACGGAGGGUGCAAGCGUUAUCCGGAUUCACUGGGUUUAAAGGGUGCGUAGGUG